GAAUUGAUCAAUCAUAAAUGAAUAAAUAAUAAAUAUUCAAACAGAGAUUCAGAUAUCAGAGAUUUAAGAGUCCAGAUAAGGCUUUCCAGUUAAUAACCAAUUGAUGAAUGUUCACUAUUCACCAUAAUCUCUGGUUAAUUGAACUUUGAAAGCUUGAGUACAAGUGCAAAACAUUGGAUUAUUUGAGAAAUUCGCCAAUUACGGUGGUUCCGCCAUUGUUUAGUCAAAAAUACAGGUGAGCUAAUUAGGAUUUAGGUUUAGUGGAGUUUGAUUUAAUAAUUUCAUCCAAGUUCCUAAACUCUAAAAAACUCUAGACACGUAUUGCAUCAAUAACCCAUAUCAAUAUAUUUGAAUACAUAAACAAAGACGAGCUUCUAUUAGAUCUUGGAAAUCUUCACAUGAUCUAAUGAGGCUUGACAUCAUGUGAAUCUAGUCCUACCUGUCUAUAUAAAAGUAUGCUCUACGAUCUACAUUAAAUGUCAGAGAUCCUACCCCAGCUGUCUAUUAGUGUAAAUAUAGUUUCACAAUAUCUGUAAUUAGCUUAUAAUUAGUGGUAUGUUUGUAAUACUUCCUUAGCUAGUUAGUGUAGUAGAAUAACUGAAUUAAUUAUUCUGUAAUAUUAUAUAAGACUACCUAUGGCUAAUGGAAAAAGGAUCGAGUCAUCUCUCCCGAUAUUUACAUCUUGUGUUCUAAUACUGCCAAGAAUCAAAGACUCUUUGGGCAAGUAAGUACUUGAAGGCAAUCUACAAGACCGUAUCCAGAACAGAAGUGAUUCAGAGACCAUUUACUCCCCAUUUUAUCAAUUGAACUUUCUCUGCAUAUGAAAGACCAUUGAAAUCGAAGACCAACAGUUCUUUUAGGGAUUUAAAAAAUGAAGGUAGAUAUACAAUUAUACACUCCAUUGGAUUUUAUUCAAUGCAAUCAAUUUUUCCACUUAAUUCGCAAUUGAUUCAAAAUCAUUUUGAAAUCGUCAAUCAUCAUAAAAAAAAUCAAACAUGUGAAAACUAGAAAACUUAAUACGCACUUUUCUCAUGAACAUCUUAAACUCCCCGAUCCAUCUAUAUUUUAUACUCCAACUCCAAUUGGCUCCAUAUAUAUUCCAAAUCACUCUGAAGCAUUUUAAAACAUAUAUAAAAACUGUUUUUUCAAACAGAUUAAGGCUUCCAACAGGAAACCCUUCUUCCUCCAAAAGCCAGGCUUCAUCCUGACGAGCUAUGACCUCCGAUGUGCUUCCCCAGCGAGCUCAGGCAACCUUCGAUGAACAGUAUUUUCAGCUAAGAACAGUGUUCUUGAAGGGUUUUUUUAAGAUUAAGUUUUUAAGAGUUUUAGGUGUUUAAAAUCUAAGUCACAGAUACUUUUACAUAAUUGUAUUUAAAGUAGAAUAUUGUAAAUUUUGUUUUAGGGAAAACGCUAUAGCUGCUAUCCUCUAUUUAGAAGUAUGCUCUGAAGUUUGAAAUGAACACACACAUAACAAGUUCCAAAAAAGACAGAAAAAACCUAACUUUCUAAAACUCAAUAGCUUAAAAAUAUGAAUGCAUUUUCGAUUUCACAAGAAGUCAGGAUAAGGUUUGCUAGUUGUUAACCAAUGAACUGAUGUUCGCAAUUCUUUUUCGAAAUCUUGAGAAUAUUUAUAAGGUAGUAUAAAGUAGUGUAAAUAAGUUUAUUGAAAAAAUUACCAA
rnacentral:lncRNA from 1 species